CGAAGGAAGAGCAAAGCCCUGUGAGAUGUCACAGAACUCAAGGACACCUGACAUCGCAGGAGAGCACUGCCCCACCUCCUCCGAGAGGAGAUGCUACAAGAAAGGAUGUCGUCUUGGUGGUCUUGAUCAGUCUGACUUCUACCCCACUGAGAUGGCAACUGGUACAGGGGACAACUAAGGGCCACCUGAGCUGCGACCAGUGGGAAAGAAAGGCAGCAGGCGGAAGCAAAGGAGAACUGAUAACCAGAUAGCAGGCGCCGGCAGGGGGCAACCUCCAAGACUCCUCGCUCUAAGACUGGUACCCUCUGAGCAGCUGAGAUAACCGUCCCCAUUUCUCCGUUGGGGGACAGGUUAGGCCUGCCCCUCCUGCAGUGCCCUCAGGGACCAGGUCUCCCCAUUUGAACCAAGAUCCAAACCAGGAGCUUUCUCACUCUAAUGCUGCUCUUUGCAUUGUUCUAUGGGCCUCAUCGUGGGAAGGGUGCACUAUGCUGAGGUGGCCUGCGGGUUGCCCCUGCCUCUGGAGUUCUAGCCGCUCAGAGGCCUCAGUCUCCGAAGAAGCAAUCAACCAUUUAUGGCUCCUGGGGUCCUAAGUGACAUCCAAGUGCAUCCAAGUGACAGUGUUUGCGGAAUUUCAAUCACGGAGGGUUCAUCGUAAUGAGCACCUUCAGCCAUGCGUUCACCUUGGCUCUCAAGUAAUUUCCCAUGAUUAAUGUCUGUGUGACCCAGGGCACGAUAAUAAA